UUAAUAUACAAGAAAAAAAAAAUGAAGCAAUAACACUGAGAUCGGUUUGCUAAUUUACAGAUAUAUCAAGGCCUUUUGGAAGCCAGGGUUGUGGGAAAAGAUUUAUCAACAAGAAAUGUUGUCAAUGGCAUCUUAGGUACUUAAGCGGGAAAAAAUUGUCAACAAUUAUUUCUAAUUCUAUGAGAUGAGGCUAUUCAAAAAGUACAGGGCAACUAAGCAUUAAAAGUGCUUUCGAAGAUAGUUCUUCUGUUCAAGAUAGUUCUUACACCUUCUGAGGAAGAUUCACAUCAACAACAUUGAAACUUGAUGUACUUUAGUUCAGUAUACUCUGAUGUACAUAUUGUCCUGAAAUCAAAGGAUUAUUUUUUCUUCCAAUAAAUUUUUAAAAUGUAUCAGUUGUCAUAAAUAAACAUUUUUUUGAAAUUUAUUCUCCCAGGUCACUUUUGACAGUUGAAAACAUUUUGUCAUCCGACUUCAUGCUAGUGCACUAAUGAAGUAAAAUUUAUUAUUUGAUUUAUUUUAAAAUGCUAAAGGAAAAGAAAAAACUGUGUAUGGUAUCGUUGAUAAUCCAGUUUGUACUUUACAGAUAAGCUAAAAUGUUUUGGCUGCAAGGAUUGUGGAAAAUGUUACGUUAUCAAGGAGGCACUUAAGAUACGAGUGCGGGAAGGAACCGGCCUUCGUACGUUCCUACUGCCACAGGCAAAGCAAGUCUUAAAAGCCACAUUGUCUUCAAACACAGCAGCACGAUUACAGUGAAUAUUCAGACUAUUUAUAAAUAAAUAAGUGGAAUGAAACGCCUCAAAAUGCAGGGAAAGGCGUUUCGGGUGCGAAGUUUGUGGUAAAAGAUAUCUCAACAAGGAAAGCUUGUCCAGGCAUUUAAAGUACGAAUGUGGAAAGGAGCCGACUUUCAGCUGUCCUUCCUGUCAUUACAAGGCAAAACGAAAGUCCCACCUUAAACAGCAUAUCAUCUUCAAACAUCCAGAAAUGUUUACACGAAAAAAUCUCCAAAAUAAAAAUAUAUUUUGAAAAUGUUUGCUCAUUUACAGAGUCUUCUGGAAGCGAGUAUUGUGGAAAAAGAUUUAUCAGCAUGAUCUGUAAUGCUUAUCUUAGGUACUCAAGCGGAUAAAAAUACUCAACUAUUAUUUCUAAUUCUACCAGAUGAGGCCAUUCACAAAGUACAGGACAACCGAGCAUUCUGUGAUAGUUCUAGGCUUUCCGAGGAAGAUGCAUAUUUACUCAGUCGAAUCAUGAUGCCCUUUAGGCCAAAUUAUACUGCUGUUCGUAUUAUCCUGAUAUGAAAAAAUUACUUUUUCUUCCAAUAAACAUUCAAUUGUUAAAAUGUAUCAGUUGUCGCAAAUAAACAUUUCUUGUGAAACUCAUUCUCCCAGGACACCUUUGACCGUUGAAAAUAUUUUGUCAUCCUGCUUCACGAUGCACAAAUGAAAUAAUUUAUUAUAAAAUGCUCAAGAAAAAGAAAAAACUGUGAAUGGUAUUCUUGAUAAUCCAAUUUGUACUUUCCAAAAAAAGCAAAAAGUUUUGGCUGGAAGGGGUUGUGUACAAUGUUAUGUCAGCGUGAAGAGGCAGGAACCUGGCCCGUACAAGGCGAAGCACAAACCAACUCUUAAAAGCCACAGUCUUCAAACACAACUGCACGAUUUCAGCAAAUAUUCAGACUAUUACAAAUAAAUAAAGAAGUGAAAUGUCUUGAAAUGGCCUCAUUGUGAAAAUUUACCCCGUUUUCAUUUUUUUUUUUUUAACUUUGCCUCUAUUUCCAGGCAGGGAGAGGCAUUUUGGGUGCGAGGCUUGUGGUAAAAGGUAUGUCAACAAGAAGAGUCUCACAAGGCAUCUGAGGUACAUGUGCGGAAAAAAGACUAAUGCAUUAUUCGCCAACAUCCUGAUAGAAAAGGCCAUUCACAAAAUACCGGAGAACUGAGCAUAAAAGUGUAUUCGAAGAUUGUUUUUCCGUUCUAGUUAAAGAUAGUUCUUACACCUGAGGAAGAUUAAGAUUUACUUCAUUGAAUCAUGGUGUCCUUUAGGUCAAUUUAUACUGUGUACAUAUUGUCAUAAAAUCAAAAAAUUACUUUUUCUUCCAAUAAAUAUUCAAUUUUUAAAAUUUACUUGUCACAAAUAAACAUUUCUUUUGAAAUUCUUUCUUCCAGGUCACUUUUGACAGUUGAAAACAUUUUGUGCUCCUAUUUCAAUAUGAUGCACAAAUGAAGAAAAAUUUAUGUUUUAUUUUAAAGUGCUAAAAAAAUUGUAAAUAGUAUCCUUGAUAAUUUGGUUUGAAUUUUACAGAUAAACUAAAACGCUUUGGCUGCAAGAAUUGUGGAAAAUGUUACGUCAACAAAGAUAGUCUGAGGAGGCACUUAAGAUACGAGUG